rnacentral:lncRNA from 1 species
CCCCAGCUCCCUGGACAGCCCUUCCAAGUAGGAUGUCACUAGGAUCCCUCACAUGGGGUCUCCUGUUGCUAUCGCUCCUGAGUUUCCUCGUGAUGUGUUACCUCAGCCUUCCCCACUACAAUGUGACAGAACAUGUAAACUGGAUGUGCUUCUGGAGUAUGAGACAAUUUACAGACAAUACCUUCACUUUGCAUUUUGAGAGCAUUCAAACUGCUCUCAUCAAAACCCAUUUCCCAUUUCUCAUCAUCCCAGUAACUUCCCAUCCCUCAAAUAUGAAAGCCAGACAGGCCAUUGGAGUUACUUGAGAUGAAAAAAAAGUGUUGGUGGAGAUAAGAGAUUCUUACGUUAUGUCUGAAAGGGAAGACAAAAUGUUAGCACUGUGCUUAGAGGGUGAACACCUUCUUUAUGGUGACAUAAUGCAACCACAUGUUUUGGAUACAUAUAAUAACAUGACCUUGAAAACCAUUAUGGCAUUCAGGUGGGUAACUGAGUUUUGCCCCAAUGCCAAGUACAUCAUGAAUACAGACACUGAUGUUUCCAUCGAUAUUUGAAAUUUAGUAAAGUAUCUUUUAAACUGAAACCAGAGAAGUUUUUCACAGGUUAUCCUCUGAGUAACAAUUAUUCCUACAGAGGAUUUCACCAAAAACCCCAUAUUUUAUACCAGAAGUAUCCUUUCAUGGUGUUCCCUCCAUACUGCAGUGUGUUGGGUUAUAAAAUGUCCAGAGGUUGGUGCCAAGGAUCUAUAAAUGAUGAGUCAUGUAAAACCCAUUAAGUUUGAAGACGUUUAUGUUGGGAUCUGUUUGAAUUUCUUAAAAGUGGAUAUUUAUACUCCAGAAGACACAAACGCUUUUCUUUUUAUGAAGAGUUGAUGUGGAUGUCUGUCAACUCAGAUGUGUGAUUGCAGCCCAUGGCUUUUUUUACAAGGAGAUCAUUACUUUUUGAUAGAUUAUGCUAAGGAACAUCACAUGCCAUUAU